rnacentral:tRNA from 1 species
GGGGCGCUAGCUCAGUUGGGAGAGCGGUACGUUCGCAACGUACAGGCCGUGGGUUCGAAUCCCAUGCGCUCCA